AUAAUGGGUCAGCGACUUAUAUUCUGUAGCAAGGUUAACCGAAUAGGGGAGCCGAAGGGAAACCGAGUCUUAACUGGGCGUUAAGUUGCAGGGUAUAGACCCGAAACCCGGUGAUCUAGCCAUGGGCAGGUUGAAGGUUGGGUAACACUAACUGGAGGACCGAACCGACUAAUGUUGAAAAAUUAGCGGAUGACUUGUGGCUGGGGGUGAAAGGCCAAUCAAACCGGGAGAUAGCUGGUUCUCCCCGAAAGCUAUUUAGGUAGCGCCUCGUGAAUUCAUCUCCGGGGGUAGAGCACUGUUUCGGCAAGGGGGUCAUCCCGACUUACCAACCCGAUGCAAACUGCGAAUACCGGAGAAUGUUAUCACGGGAGACACACGGCGGGUGCUAACGUCCGUCGUGAAGAGGGAAACAACCCAGACCGCCAGCUAAGGUCCCAAAGUCAUGGUUAAGUGGGAAACGAUGUGGGAAGGCCCAGACAGCCAGGAUGUUGGCUUAGAAGCAGCCAUCAUUUAAAGAAAGCGUAAUAGCUCACUGGUCGAGUCGGCCUGCGCGGAAGAUGUAACGGGGCUAAACCAUGCACCGAAGCUGCGGCAGCGACGCUUAUGCGUUGUUGGGUAGGGGAGCGUUCUGUAAGCCUGCGAAGGUGUGCUGUGAGGCAUGCUGGAGGUAUCAGAAGUGCGAAUGCUGACAUAAGUAACGAUAAAGCGGGUG
rnacentral:rRNA from 1 species